UACGUAGGUGGCGAGCGUUGUCCGGAAUUACUGGGUGUAAAGGGAGUGUAGGCGGGGCUUCAAGUCCGUUGUGAAACCGAUCGGCUCAACUGAUCGUUGCGGCGGAAACUGGAGCUCUUGAGUGAGGUAGAGGCAGGCGGAAUUCCCAGUGUAGCGGUGAAAUGCGUAGAUAUUGGGAGGAACACCAGUGGCGAAGGCGGCCUGCUGGGCCUUAACUGACGCUGAGGCUCGAAAGUGUGGGGAGCAAACAGGAUUAGAUACCCUGGUAGUCCACACUGUAAACGAUGAUUACUAGGUGUGGGGGGACUGACCCCUUCCGUGCCGGAGUGAACACAAUAAGUAAUCCACCUGGGGAGUACGACCGCAAGGUUGAA
rnacentral:rRNA from 1 species